rnacentral:rRNA from 1 species
UCGAGUGAAUCGUGGUUAAGGAAUUCGGCAAAAUACCCCCGUAACUUCGGGAGAAGGGGGGCCCAGAGGGUGACGGGACUUGCUCCCCGAGCCUGAACGGCCGCAGAGACCAGGGAGAAGCGACUGUUUACUAAAAACACAGGUCCGUGCCAAGUCGCAAGACGAUGUAUACGGACUGACGCCUGCCCGGUGCUGGAACGUUAAGGGGACCGGUUAGCCUCACGGCGAAGCUGAGAACUUAAGCGCCAGUAAACGGCGGUGGUAACUAUAACCAUCCUAAGGUAGCGAAAUUCCUUGUCGGGUAAGUUCCGACCUGCACGAAUGGCGUAACGAUUUCUCCACUCUCUCAACCACGAACUCGGCGAAAUUGCACUACGAGUAAAGAUGCUCGUUACGCGCAGAAGGACGGAAAGACCCCGGGACCUUUACUACAGCUUGGUAUUGGUGUUCGGUACGGCUUGUGUAGGAUAGGUGGGAGACUGUGAAGCUGACACGCCAGUGUCGGUGGAGUCAACGUUGAAAUACCACUCUGGUCGUUCUGGAUAUCUAACCUAGGUCCGUGAUCCGAAUCAGGGACAGUGCCUGGUGGGUAGUUUAACUGGGGCGGUUGCCUCCUAAAAGGUAACGGAGGCGCCCAAAGGUUCCCUCAGCCUGGUUGGCAAUCAGGUUUUGAGUGUAAGUGCACAAGGGAGCUUGACUGUGAGACUGACAAGUCGAACAGGGACGAAAGUCGGGACUAGUGAUCCGGCGGUGGCUUGUGGAAGCGCCGUCGCUCAACGGAUAAAAGGUACCCCGGGGAUAACAGGCUGAUCUUGCCCAAGAGUCCAUAUCGACGGCAUGGUUUGGCACCUCGAUGUCGGCUCGUCGCAUCCUGGGGCUGGAGUAGGUCCCAAGGGUUGGGCUGUUCGCCCAUUAAAGCGGUACGCGAGCUGGGUUUAGAACGUCGUGAGACAGUUCGGUCCCUAUCCUCUGCGCGCGCAGGAAACUUGAGAAGGGCUGUCCCUAGUACGAGAGGACCGGGAUGGACGAACCUCUGGUGUGUCAGUUGUUCUGCCAAGAGCACCGCUGAUUAGCUACGUUCGGGAGUGAUAACCGCUGAAAGCAUCUAAGCGGGAAGCAUGCUUCAAGAUGAGGUUUCCAUGGGGUUGACCCCGAGAGGCUCCCAGCUAGACUACUGGGUUGAUAGGCCGGAUGUGGAAGUGCGGUAACGCAUGGAGCUGACCGGUACUAAUAAGCCGAUAACUUGACU